ensembl:lncRNA
GAUACAUCAUGUAUGUUGUAAAAUAAGAAAAACGGUUGUAGGCCCACCGCAUUUCCACCUUAUUAGAAACCAUAAUUACAUACACAAACAUAUAAUACAGUAGCCUACCAUUUCAUCAUAGGCCAGAUUAAUAGGCAAGUGUAUUGCAUUUGCAUUGCUAGAAUAAAAUAUGCAGAGACGAAAUGUAAAAUAGCAGAAGUCAAUGGCAAAGAUCAGCUUGAGUGCCAUCAGAUGCUGCAUCGCUCUGAUGUGUUUUUAAAUGAAGGAAUUUGUAAAGGUCCGGAACAUAAAUAUUCAGAGCCGGUGGUUAAACUCUAGUGGAACCUGCCUCUGCAGGUUCCACUAGAGUAAUAGAAUAUUAGAUGGGAUUAGAAAAAUCGAUCAAACAAGCUAUGAAUGAUGUUUCCUUUGUGUGUGUGUGUCAGUACGCAGGUUUUUUGUCGGUGUGUUUGCAUGCAGGACCUGCGUUAAACUGAGCACCCAAUCCACACUAUUUCACUAUUCUGUCUGAUAAACUCUUCUCAACAAUUUCUCCUCUACGGUUUAGGAAUCCUUUUUCUCAGACCAAUUGUCUUUUCAUUCCCGCACCCUCCCCCGUCCUCCACUCUUGCCUUCGACAGAUGUCAGCACCUGUCUCCCUGUCUCUGCUUGUCAUUGACUGAAACUCACAACCAGCCUCACUCUCUCCUCCUAUUCAUUUUGUCAUUUCUUAUUUGCGUUCUUUGAGUCAUUCUCUUUUCUUUCUUUCUUUCUUUCUUUCUUUCUUUCUUUCUUUCUUUCUUUCUUUCUUUCUUUCUUUCUUUCUUUCUUUCUUUCUUUCUUUCUUUCUUUCUUUCUUUCUCAAGUUCAUUUAUCAAAUACCUACAUGAAAAUAUGAAGGAAUUGACCUACUUUCCUUGAUACACUUUCUUAUAGAUCAGCAUAGGGAGGAUAUUUCAGUUACACUCUCACACUCUGUUAUUCAAUUAUAUUUUAUAAAACAUCUGAUAAAAGCCGGCCGGGAGGACUAUUACAGGGACGGUAACCACUGCCCAGCAUAAUAUUCCUGUUGGCUGAUCAGUCUAUUAGGGUCCUUCGGAGAGUCACAGAACCAUGGGGGGCUUUCAGUCAAUCUGCUUAAUAUAACAGAGAUCUGGUUAUAGAUCUGGCUGUCCCUUCACGACCACCGCAGGCUGUGGUUUAUGGCCCCCUCCGUGAUGAAUGUCCAGUAUGAUUAUUCUUAAUGUCCUGCCUGCUGUUAAUAUCACGACUUGUGACCUUUGGAGAUGAGCUCAGGAUGCCAGAGGCAAAAGCAACAGCUGGCCAUCAACUUUCUGGAACACUAAGCUGCGCUAAAUAGGAAGGUGAUAGGAUGAGGUGGAGGCGGAGGCGGUGUGUGUGUGCCUGAAUUAUUUGGGGUGGGUGGGUGUGUGUGGGUGUGUGUCCCAUGUACAUAGCCAACUACCAUGGUUGAUUGUUGUCAGCAUCUUGGCUUUUGACUCAUUCCCUCUGUGGCCUCCUACUGGUUCUUUGUUUUCUUCGACCAUUUGUCUGUUUCCCGCCUUUUUUGUCACUGUGUUGAUACAGAGCUGUUACAAGGGGAUACAUUAUUUACCAAGUUGGAUCUCAAUAAUGCUUAUCACUUGGUAUGAAUCAGGGAGGGCGAAGAAUGGAAGACGGCGUUUUACACACCCACGGGUCAAUAUGAGUACCUCGUCCUACCAUUCGGGUUGACCAAUGCCCCAGCGGUCUUAGUGCACAAGUAUGUUUUUGUUUACCUUGAUGACAGUCUCAUAUUUUCCAGGCCCCUUCGUGAUCAUGUCCAGUAUGCAAGAAUGGUUCUUCAGCGGUUGCUAGAGAACCAAUUCUUCUUGAUGGCAGAGAAGUGUAAGCUCCAUCGUAGCUCUGCAUCCUUUUUGGGCUUUGUCAUCUUUAUUGAGCUUUGUCAUCUCUUAGGGCAGUGUAGAGAUGGACUCAGCCAAGAUCAAUGCUGUAGUCGAAUGGCCUACCCCUCAGUCUCGCAAGGAUCUACAGAGGUUUUGCCAAUUUGCCAAUUUGCCACUACAGUUCCCAAGCAUCUCCCCUAAAAGCUCUGACUUCUUCUGUCAGGUUUCUUUGGUCUGAAGCAUCAGAGAAUGCUUUUCAACCGCUGAGGAGGCGAAUCACCUCUGCCCCAUUCUAACUAUACCAGAUCCCUCAUGUCAGUUUAUGGUGGAGGUGGAUGGCUCUGAUGUUGGGGUAGGAGCACUCCUAUCGAAGAGGUUCACUGAGGACAAUAAACGACACCCUUGUGCCUUUCGGAGUGAAAGGCACAAGGCACAAUACAUCGUCUCACUCCCACAGAACAAAACUAUGACAGGGAAACUACUGGGGGUAAAGCUAGCAUUCGAGGGGUGGCGUCACUGGCUGGGGGCUAUGAUGUCCCUAUACUCGUUUGGACUGACCAUAGGAACCUUUAGUGCGAUAAUUCAGCUAAACGCCUCAACACUCGCCAGGCUAGUUGUUCUCUAUUUAAUUUUCUUACUUAAUUUUGUCAUUUUCGCCCAGGCUCAAAGAAUGUGAAACCCGAUGCACUCUCUCCCCAGUUUAAUGGUUGGGCCAUCACCUGGGACAUUGAGUCCAUGGUCCUUUCUCAGAUCCUGCAGUAGGGCUAUUCCUCCCGGUUGACUUGCCUUGUUGAGUCAGGAGGACCAUAGUGUUUCUACGUCGCUGUUUCUACGUUGCUUUUGGUAGCCCAAGAUGGCUGUGGAUGUUCAGACCUUCGUUGCUGCUUGUCAG